GAUGAACGCUGGCGGCGUGCCUAACACAUGCAAGUCGAACGAAACUUCUGUACUACCGCGUGCUUGCACCCACCGAUAAAGGGUUGAGUGGCGAACGGGUGACUAACACGUGGGCAACACGCCCGAAAGAGGGGGCUAACACUUGGAAACAGGUGCUAAUACCGCAUAACCAUAUUUACCGCACGGGAACUAUGUAGACGGUGGCUCUACUACCCCAUUUGGAUGGGUCUGCGGCGCAGUAGCUAGUUGGUCGGGUCAGGUCUUACCAAGGCAACGAUACGUAGCUGGACUGAGAGGAUGAUCAGUCACACUAGAACUGAGACACGGUCCAGACUACUACGGGAGGCAGCAGUGGGGAAUAUUGGACAAUGGGCGAAAGCCUGAGCCAGCCAUGCCGCGUGUGUGAAGAAGGUCUUCGGAUUGUAAAGCACUUUAAGUUGGGAAGAAGGGCAGUAAGUGAAUACCUUGCUGUUUUGACGUUACCAACAGAGUAAGCACCGGCUAACUUCGUG
rnacentral:rRNA from 1 species